GAAAACGACAAUGACGUUGAUAUAGUCAUGUGAGACUCGUGACAUUAGUGUUGUAGCCUGUUUGCGACCACCCUGUUACCAUCCCUCAGGACGACAUGAACGCCAUAUUCUGCAAAAAUAAGAUGGAACCCCACAGACAAGGGUGGACAGGGUAACCGAAUGCAAGGAGAUGCCCAUCCGUCUCCACUCCUCCCGGGAAUUAAACCUGGGAUCUCUUGGUUUAGAACUGGCGUGAUUGAUGGCAAGUGAUCGUGAGUGUUCCUUGGUCCUGAGGAAGGGGAUGUGAGUACAGAAAGUUGGAAUCUGCUCAGCUCUUAUAUUAUGUCGACUAAAGUAUCCACACCUUCUCACUUUUUACUAAUAGAUUAGGUUUCUUCAGGUCUC